rnacentral:rRNA from 1 species
AUACGGAGGAUCCGAGCGUUAUCCGGAUUUAUUGGGUUUAAAGGGUGCGCAGGCGGGAGAUUAAGUCGGCGGUGAAAUUUUUGAGCUCAACUGUAAAAGGGCCUUCGAAACUGGUUUUCUUGAGUGUGGAUGAAGUAGGAGGAAUUUGAGGUGUAGCGGUGAAAUGCAUAGAUAUCACGAGGAACUCCGAUUGCGCAGGCAGCUUACUAAACUACUACUGACGCUCAGGCACGAAGGCGUGGGGAUCAAACAGGAUUAGAUACCCUGGUAGUCCACGCAGUAAACGAUGAUUACUAGCUGUUUGCGAUACAAUGUAAGCGGCUGAGCGAAAGCGUUAAGUAAUCCACCUGGGGAGUACGUUCGCAAGAAUGAAACUCAAAGGAAUUGACGGG